rnacentral:lncRNA from 1 species
AAAGAACGUGGAGAGUUGAAGCAGCUGGUUUCUAAUGAGAGAGAGAGAGAGGGAGAGAAUGCACGAAUAUUUAUCUUGAAGUCUAUAUUGUUCAGACGUUGGGAUAAAAUGGUGCCUACCAUUUUGAUCAGCACAUUUUUGCUUCAUUUUACUGCUGCUGUAGCUUCAGAACCGCAAUAUAUCCUAUGGAUCUCCUCUGUGAUGCAGAGUUAUUCUACAGAAAAAGCCUGUCUCCACCUCCUAAACCUUAAUGAAUCUGUAUCCUUGAGUGUUGUCUUAGAAUAUGAUGGAUCCAGGACCACUAUUUUUGACCAGUCUGUGGAAGAGGAUAACUUCUAUGCUUGUGCAGAUUUCAAGGUCUCUCAGAAGUCCUCUGAACAGCUGGCUUUUGUGACCUUGUUGGCCAAGGGAGAGACUCUUAAAAUCUCUGAAAGGAGAUCUGUAGCAAUCACUUCAGAGGCGACGGUAACUUUUAUCCAGUCAGAUAAACCCAUCUAUAAAUCUGGAGAGGAGGGUAAGUCAAUAUUUGUGUUUCCUUUGUAUUAUUGAUUUGAGAAAUGCAUUCUCCAAAUUGAGAACA